GGAUUAGAUACCCUGGUAGUCCACGCCGUAAACGAUGAUCACUAGACAUUGGCGACAUACUGUCGGUGUCAAAGCGAAAGUAUUAAGUGAUCCACCUGGGGAGUACGCCGGCAACGGUGAAACUCAAAGGAAUUGACGGGGGCCCGCACAAGCGGUGGAGCAUGUGGUUUAAUUCGAUGAUACGCGAGGAACCUUACCUGGGCUUAAAUGCAGAACGACCGAUCCGGAAACGGAUCUUUCUUCGGACGGACUGCAAGGUGCUGCAUGGUUGUCGUCAGCUCGUGCCG
rnacentral:rRNA from 1 species